AGGCUGAAGACUUUGCCGGAUUAGCUGAGAGGUGGUGCAUGGCCGUCGUCAGUUCGUACUGUGAAGCAUCCUGUUAAGUCAGGCAACGAGCCGAGACCCCAGCCCACAGUUGCCAGCGGUACUCUCCGGAGUGACGGGGUACACUGUGGGGACCGCCGCUGCUAAAGCGGAGGAAGGAAUGGGCAACGGUAGGUCAGUAUGCCCCGAAUAUCCCGGGCUACACGCGAGCUACAAUGGUUGGUACAAUGGGUAUCUACCCCGAAAGGGGACGGGAAUCUCCUAAAACCAAUCUUAGUUCGGAUUGAGGGCUGCAACUCGCCCUCAUGAAGCUGGAAUCCGUAGUAAUCGCGUUUCAACAGAACGCGGUGAAUACGUCCCUGCUCCUU
rnacentral:rRNA from 1 species